ACGAAGCGAGAAGUCGACGCGCCGCUCAAGGCGUCCGGCCCUCCGCGAGCGCCCGCGGGGGAACGGGUUCCGGACCCGGUCCGAUCCCGUUCCCACCGCGGGGCUGUCCGCGAUGAAGGAGGUGUCCUCGGACGGCGUCGAUUCACUCCGGUCCGCGACGCUACGGCUUGGAUGGUCCACCCGACCCGUCUUGAAACACGGACCAAGGAGUCUAACAUGCGCGCGAGUCGUUGGGUCGGACACGCUCCGCUAAACCCAUAGGCGCAAUGAAAGUGAAGGCCGCCGUCAGGGCGGCCGAGGGAGGACGGUGCCGGUUUCGGGCGCUCCGGCGCCCGUCGGCCCCCGCACCCCCGGGGCGUCUGAUCCCUCAUCGCGAGGGGAGGCGCACCCAGAGCGCACACGUUGGGACCCGAAAGAUGGUGAACUAUGCCUGGCCAGGACGAAGUCAGGGGAAACCCUGAUGGAGGUCCGUAGCGAUUCUGACGUGCAAAUCGAUCGUCGGAGCUGGGUAUAGGGGCGAAAGACUAAUCGAACCAUCUAGUAGCUGGUUCCCUCCGAAGUUUCCCUCAGGAUAGCUUGCGCUCGGAGGAGAGUCUCAUCCGGUAAAGCGAAUGAUUAGAGGCCUUGGGGCCGAAACGGCUUCAACCUAUUCUCAAACUUUAAAUGGGUGAGAACUCCGGCUUGCUCGACCGAUCGAAGCCGGAGACGGGGCCUUCGGGCCCCCGGGAUCGGAGUGCAUAGUGGGCCACUUUUGGUAAGCAGAACUGGCGCUGUGGGAUGAACCAAACGACGGGUUAAGGCGCCCGAAUCGACGCUCAUGGGAAACCAUGAAAGGUGUUGGUGCUUAAGACAGCAGGACGGUGGCCAUGGAAGUCGGAAUCCGCUAAGGAGUGUGUAAUAACUCACCUGCCGAAGCAACUAGCCCUGAAAAUGGAUGGCGCUGAAGCGUCGUGCCUAUACCCGGCCGUCGCCGCAGGGCGGGCCCGGCAACCCCGGGUGCCGCUUGACGCGGCGACGAGUAGGAGGGUCGCGGCGGCGCGCGCAGAAGGGUCUGGGCUCGAGCCUGCCUGGAGCCGCCGCCGGUGCAGAUCUUGGUGGUAGUAGCAAAUACUCCAGCGAGGCCCUGGAGGACUGAUGUGGAGAAGGGUUUCGUGUGAACAGCCGUUGCACACGAGUCAGUCGAUCCUAAGCCCUAGGAGAAAUCCGACGCCAACGGCGACGGGAAAGAAACGAAAUGCAACCCGUUGAUCGGGCGAAAGGGAAUCCGGUUCCUAUUCCGGAACCCGGCAGCGGAACCGCUGUUUGUCGGGCCCUCACAAGGGGUUCGUCAGGGUAACCUAAAAGGGCCCGGAGACGCCGUCGGGAGCCCCGGAAAGAGUUUUCUUUUCUGCAUGAGCGUUCGAGUUCCCUG
rnacentral:rRNA from 1 species